rnacentral:rRNA from 1 species
CUAAGAAUUUUAUAAAAUUAAUUUUCCAAAUUUGGAAAAUUAAUUUUUUUAAUUGGGGCGAUUAAUUAAAAUUAAAAACUUUUUUUUUUAAAAAAAAGAACCGUUAAUAGCGGUCUAAUGGUAAAAUACUCUAGGGAUAACAGCGUAAUAAUUUUUGAUAGUUCAUAUUGACAAAA